UGAAAUUCACCAUGGUGGGUAAA
rnacentral:miRNA from 1 species